GUGCUUGCUUUGGCAGCACAUAUACUAAAGUUUGAACGAUACAGAGAAGAUUAACAUGGCCCCUAUGCAAAGGAUGACAUGCAAAUUUGUGAAGUGUUCCAUAUUUUU
ensembl:snRNA U6 U6 spliceosomal RNA